rnacentral:rRNA from 1 species
AACGAACGCUGGCGGCAUGCCUAACACAUGCAAGUCGAACGAAGGCUUCGGCCUUAGUGGCGCACGGGUGCGUAACGCGUGGGAAUCUGCCCUUUGGUUCGGAAUAACAGCUGGAAACGGCUGCUAAUACCGGAUGAUGACGAAAAUCCAAAGAUUUAUCGCCAGAGGAUGAGCCCGCGUUGGAUUAGGUAGUUGGUGGGGUAAAGGCCUACCAAGCCGACGAUCCAUAGCUGGUCUGAGAGGAUGAUCAGCCACACUGGGACUGAGACACGGCCCAGACUCCUACGGGAGGCAGCAGUGGGGAAUAUUGGACAAUGGGCGCAAGCCUGAUCCAGCAAUGCCGCGUGAGUGAUGAAGGCCCUAGGGUUGUAAAGCUCUUUUACCCGGGAAGAUAAUGACUGUACCGGGAGAAUAAGCCCCGGCUAACUCCGUG